rnacentral:rRNA from 1 species
CCCUUAGAUGUUCUGGGCCGCACGCGCGCUACACUGAUGCAUUCAACGAGUUCCUACCUUGGCCGAGUGGCCUGGGCAAUCUUUUGAACUUGCAUCGUGAUAGGGAUAGAUUAUUGCAAUUAUUAAUCUUGAACGAGGAAUUCCUAGUAAACGCAGAUCAUCAAUCUGCAUUGAUUACGUCCCUGCCCUUUGUACACACCGCCCGUCGCACCUACCGAUUGAAUGGUCCGGUGAAGCCUCGGGAUUGUGGUUAGUUUCCUUCAUUGGAAGUUAGCCGCGAGAACUUGUCUAAACCUUAUCAUUUAGAGGAAGGUGAAGUCGUAACA